UGUAGAGAAUCUGACCCUGUACUGGGGGACAACAGAGGGAAACGUUCUGCUAAUACCCCAUAUGAGCGUACCUGCGAUGGUAUUCUUGAAAGUUCCGGCGGUACAGGAUGAGUCUGCAUCUGAUUAGCUAGUUGGUGGUGUAAUGGACUACCAAGGCGACGAUCAGUAGCUGGGUUUGAGAGGAUGAUCAGCCACAAUGGGACUGAGACACGGCCCAUACUCCUACGGAAGGCAGCAG
rnacentral:rRNA from 1 species